UGCGUUGGGGAAGGGCUGCUCCUCGGAAAACUAACGUUAGCUGGCUGGCUAGUUAGUAAGCUAGCGUCGUGGUGUUCGUUGAUGCGUGGAUCAGAGGUAUACGCCGUCUUGUUUUCCAGUCAAUGCCAAAACGCAAAAACAAACACAAAUUGAAUCAGAUCAACAAGUGCCCCGGUAGCUGGAGUAAGGUAAUUGAAAAAGCAGAAUAAAAUGAGUGAACUGGACCAGUUACGCCAAGAGGCAGAGCAGCUCAAAAAUCAGAUCAGAGAUGCCAGGAAAGCAUGCGCAGAUGCCACACUUUCACAGAUUACAGCUAACAUUGACCCCGUGGGCCGAAUCCAGAUGCGUACAAGACGAACGCUACGGGGUCAUUUGGCUAAAAUCUAUGCCAUGCAUUGGGGAACAGAUUCCAGGCUCUUGGUCAGUGCCUCUCAAGAUGGCAAACUCAUUAUUUGGGACAGCUAUACCACAAAUAAGGUUCACGCCAUUCCACUUCGAUCCUCCUGGGUCAUGACUUGUGCAUAUGCACCUUCAGGAAAUUAUGUGGCCUGUGGCGGCUUAGACAACAUCUGCUCCAUUUACAACCUGAAAACACGCGAGGGGAAUGUACGUGUGAGCCGCGAGCUCGCUGGACAUACAGGAUACCUGUCCUGUUGUCGUUUUCUUGAUGACAACCAGAUUGUUACAAGCUCUGGGGAUACCACUUGUGCACUUUGGGACAUUGAGACUGGCCAGCAGACAACCACAUUUGCUGGACACACAGGUGAUGUCAUGAGCCUGUCAUUGGCCCCUGACGCACGGUUAUUCGUCUCUGGUGCUUGUGAUGCCUCCGCUAAACUCUGGGACGUCCGAGAGGGCAUGUGCAGACAGACAUUUACUGGCCAUGAGUCCGACAUCAAUGCCAUCUGUUUCUUCCCUAAUGGCAAUGCCUUUGCCACGGGCUCCGAUGACGCCACCUGCAGGCUGUUUGAUCUGCGUGCUGAUCAGGAAUUAAUGAUCUACUCUCAUGACAAUAUUAUAUGUGGCAUCACCUCUGUUGCAUUCUCAAAGAGUGGCCGUCUUCUUCUGGCGGGAUAUGAUGACUUCAACUGUAAUGUGUGGGACACACUAAAGGCUGACCGUGCUGGUGUGUUGGCUGGACAUGACAACCGUGUUAGCUGCCUGGGAGUUACUGAUGAUGGCAUGGCAGUUGCAACAGGAUCCUGGGACAGUUUUCUGAAGAUCUGGAAUUGAAGCCUAAAGGUUUAAGAGAGUUGUGCGUUCAAUGAAAUGUCUUUCUGUUUCGUGGUCUUUUGCUGGGGUGCACAUGACACCUGUUGGCUUGAAUGGAUCCUUGCAGUCUCCUGCAUGAUCAGAAAAACAUUCUUUUUCACUAAGCUCUAGAUGUUCUUUUAACUCCAAAGUUGACUGGAAGACCAUUACAACUUCAGAAUGUUCACAGCAUCUUCUUCAACACUGUUUAAACUGACUUGGACACCACAAAAAAUGAAGGGAAACCAAUGCCUUUCCUACACAAAGAAGAGCACAAUUGUUUAUCACCUAGUUAAGAAAGGAUCUCCUGUGGUAUCAAAUCAGAAACUUGUGCAUUCCUUCUUGGACCAUUUUUAUGUUACCUUGAAAGAGAAAACACUAUCAUCCCAUGCAAAUGUGUGCGUCUUGAAAGCAAAUGUUGGAGUGUAAUUGUACAAAUUAUUUAACUUUUUUUUUUUUUUUUUUUUUUUUUAAGAAUUCUAUUCUGAUGGUUUGUUCUUGAUGGCUUUCCUUUUGUCAUAUUUCUUUAGUGGUUUUUAGAUAUGUUUGAAUUGAAGCUUGUCUUUCUAAUCCAGUUAAAUCAUAUAAGACAGAUGAGAGAAAACAUGCAGCAAGUAAUGCAAGUAAAAGCUUGGAUCAUAUUACACGAGCAGCUUUCAAAAUGUCCAUGAUGUAUUUAUAUACUAGCUGUUUUUGUUUCAUCACAGCCUUUUGCACAUGAAGAAGCUUUGCCUCUCAACUAAUACUAUGUUAACUAACCAAGCACAUGCUAUAAGUUAUGAAUGCUCAUUCCAGUACAAAAGGAGUUAUUACGAGUAACUUAUACAGUUAACCCCCUUAAUUCUUGUACAUGCCUUUUGACUUUGGGUGGGAAGGGGUGGGGUAGCAAGGUAGGUGCUGAGAUAAUUGGGGCAUGGCUGGAUUUUAUUAUAUGGAUGGGGGAUUGUGUUUAGCAUCCACUUUGAGUGAAACACCUCACCUGACUAAAUAGACACUUCCUUUGCUUGGGACUGCAGUUGCAACUCUGUGAAUGAAAUGUACAAAUCAAUGUCUGAAAAUAAUGGUCUGAUAUUUUAAGUUAAGACAUUAAUUUUGUCUGCCAUGAGUUAAUUUAGAUGUGCAUGCUGUAGACUUGCUUUCAAUGGUGCAAAUUCCUAGAUUUUGUUUUUAUUUCUGAAAAGGAGAGUAAACCCUAUUGAUUGAUCUUAAUAGAAGCCAAUUGUUUGGGCUCUAACUCCACAUACAUCAUGUACCAAUACUGGUAACGCUAUGCACCAGAGUGAGCAAGAAUGGAGAACAACUUAAUAUUGACUGCAUAGUUGGUGUAAAUUAUGCUUACCAGUUCUAUUGAUGCCAAGUUUUGUAAUAAUUAUAACAAUCAUUGUGACAAUUCUAUCCUUGGCGAGUUUUUCUCUCCUUCAAAAUCUCAGCACUCAAUGGAACAAAAACGUCCUCACAUACUGUCCAUACUAAAACUUUUGUACAUUUCUUUUUCUUUUUUUUUUUUUUUUCUUGGUCUUAAAUUGAAAAUCGGAGCAUCUGAAUGAUAACAUUUCACUGUAUACAGAAGCACUUUUGUUAAAGUUGUGACAUAUUUUCACUUUUCUUUUUUUUUCUGCAAUGAUGUACAAUAAAUGUGAUGUAUUCGUGUGUGGCCACAAGUGAAAAUGCAAUUCAACUGAGAUGGAUUCCCCUUUCUCUUUCCAUUAAUAUUAUAGAGCUCUGCACCCUUAUGUACCUUUUCACUUUUUCAUUUCAGUCUGUUGGUGUUACACGGUGAGCUGGAUGCAAGAUAGAUACUGUACUAAAUUGUACUGUUAUUGAUUGAAAAAUGUAAUAAAAAGCUGUUUGAGA